GGGUGAGUAACGCGUGGGUAACCUACCUCACACAGGGGGAUAACAGUUGGAAACGACCGCUAAUACCGCAUAAGCCGGAAGGAUCGCAUGAUCCGGCCGGAAAAGAUUUAUCGGUGUGAGAUGGACCCGCGUCUGAUUAGCCAGUUGGCAAGGUAACGGCCUACCAAAGCGACGAUCAGUAGCCGGCCUGAGAGGGUGAACGGCCACAUUGGGACUGAGACACGGCCCAAACUCCUACGGGAGGCAGCAGUGGGGAAUAUUGCACAAUGGGGGAAACCCUGAUGCAGCGACGCCGCGUGAGUGAAGAAGUAUUUCGGUAUGUAAAGCUCUAUCAGCAGGGAAGAAAAUGACGGUACCUGACUAAGAAGCCCCGGCUAACUACGUGCCAGCAGCCGCGGUAAUACGUAGGGGGCAAGCGUUAUCCGGAUUUACUGGGUGUAAAGGGAGCGUAGACGGCCAGACAAGUCAGAAGUGAAAGCCCAGGGCUCAACCCUGGGACUGCUUUUGAAACUGCCGGGCUGGAGUGCAGGAGAGGCAAGCGGAAUUCCUAGUGUAGCGGUGAAAUGCGUAGAUAUUAGGAGGAACACCAGUGGCGAAGGCGGCUUACUGGACUGUAACUGACGUUGAGGCUCGAAAGCGUGGGGAGCAAACAGGAUUAGAUACCCUGGUAGUCCACGCCGUAA
rnacentral:rRNA from 1 species